AGAAAUUACUAAUCUGCCACGUGCGAGUAAUUCCGCUCCGUCCGAGUCGUCCAGCAGACCACCACACCCACGGCUCCGUACCAUCCGUCGCCGCCGGCGCGCGCUCACCAGACGCCAGCCACCGCGAUGGCCGCCUCCGCCACGGCCUCGAGGCCUCUCGCCGGGGCCUACGUCCCGCUCCCCCUCCCCGCGCGGGGGCUGCCGUCUAGGGUCGCCUUGCUCCCGCGGGCUCCGCCGGCGGUUCAGGGCCUCACCCUCGACCGGCCCGCGCAGCUCUCGGUGCGAGCGCGCGGCCGGUCGGUGCGGUGCCUCGCGGGGCUCAGCCCGGAGAUGCGGGCGACGCUGGACAAGGUGGUGGGGUCGAGCAAGGUGGUGCUGUUCAUGAAGGGGACCAAGGACUUCCCGCAGUGCGGAUUCUCCCACACCGUCGUGCAGAUCCUCCGCUCGCUGGACGUGCCCUUCGAGACGCUCGACGUGCUCGCCAACGAAGCGCUCCGGCAGGGGCUCAAGGAGUACUCCAGCUGGCCAACCUUCCCGCAGCUCUACAUCGAUGGCGAAUUCUUCGGCGGAUGCGACAUCACCGUUGACUGUAGGGUUGAUGAACAUGCUGCUCCUUCUGAACACCUACUUGUCUAGUUGAACACAUGAAGUCAUUGUUAAAAGUAUGUGGGAUGCUUAUGUACUGAAGUUAAGUUGAGUGGUCUAAAUUUGCGGUACUGAACUUGAGCCAGAGGAAAAUAUACACAAAGCGCAAAAAUCUAGGCAUAUAAGAGUGGAGAACUGCAGGAAACUUUAGAGAAAGCGAUGUGUUCUUAGAGACCAUUGAACCAGGAGCACACAACAUACAAUUAAUCAAAAUGUUGUAGUAUUUGCUGUAAAAUUCAGGCAUGUUAAAGAACUGAAGAUGCUCAGUGCACUUUCAUUGAAAUAAGAUUUUCUGCAAUUUGUGAUUUUAAUCGUACAGUUUCCAUUGCAAUGUUAUGCUACUGGAUUGUUUGUUCCA